UACGGGGGGGGCAAGCGUUGUUCGGAAUUACUGGGCGUAAAGGGCUCGUAGGCGGCCAACUAAGUCGGAUGUGAAAUCCCCAGGCUUAACCUGGGAACUGCAUCCGAUACUGGAUGGCUUGAAUCCGGGAGAGGGAUGCAGAAUUCCAGGUGUAGCGGUGAAAUGCGUAGAUAUCUGGAGGAAUACCAGUGGCGAAGGCGGCUUCCUGGCCUGUUCUUGACGCUGAGGCGCGAAAGCUAGGGGAGCAAACGGG
rnacentral:rRNA from 1 species